CUCUCCUAAAUCCAGAGAGCGUAGCAGGAACAAAUCAAGCUCUUACAAGAGUUUACUCUGGGGAGUAAGUGAUUAUAGCAAUCCCCAGAGUGUAGGUAUCCCUUCCCCCAAGCAUGAGCCAAGGCUUCAAGAAAGGUGCAAGUAGGUCUGGUUUAUUGAGGGCUACCUGCCCGGUAUUUAUGCAAGUGUCCACCAGGUGGACACUCCCCUAGAGGACCUGAUGGAACAAUGGGA